GCCUGGGUGGCUCAGUCGGUUGAGCGUCCGACUUCGGCUCAGCUCACGAUCUCGCGGUCCGUGAGUUCGAGCCCCGCAUCAGGCU
rnacentral:tRNA from 1 species